rnacentral:rRNA from 1 species
UACGUAGGGGGCAAGCGUUAUCCGGAUUUACUGGGUGUAAAGGGAGCGUAGACGGCUUUGCAAGCCAGAUGUGAAAGCCCGGGGCUCAACCCCGGGACUGCAUUUGGAACUGUGUGGCUAGAGUGUCGGAGAGGCAGGCGGAAUUCCUAGUGUAGCGGUGAAAUGCGUAGAUAUUAGGAGGAACACCAGUGGCGAAGGCGGCCUGCUGGACGAUGACUGACGUUGAGGCUCGAAAGCGUGGGGAGUAAACAGG